AAACCAUGCAUCAGACAUUUAUUCAGUAAAUCCUUAAAAUGCUCCCAAGCUUUAUAUAGGUUCUCAACCUACAUUUGCUUGAAUGAUAUGAGAUUAUUACUCAGUCU